GUCUAGCAUGUACGCGAGUCAUUGGGACCCGUUAAACCUAAAGGCGUAAUGAAAGUGAAGGUUCUCCUCGCGAGAACCUAGGGAGGACGGUUGGCGGGGUGUACCGCCGUCCUGCACUCCCGGGGCGUCUCGUUCUCAUCGCGAGAAGAGGCGCACCAAGAGCGUACACGCUGGGACCCGAAAGAUGGUGAACUAUGCCUGGUCAGGACGAAGUCAGGGGAAACCCUGAUGGAGGUCCGUAGCGAUUCUGACGUGCAAAUCGAUCGUCGGAACUGGGUAUAGGGGCGAAAGACUAAUCGAACCAUCUAGUAGCUGGUUCCCUCCGAAGUUUCCCUCAGGAUAGCUGGCGCUCGUCGCGCACGAGUCUCAUCCGGUAAAGCGAAUGAUUAGAGGCAUUGGGGUCGAAACGACCUCAACCUAUUCUCAAACUUUAAAUGGGUGAGAUCUCCGGCUUGCUCGAACGAAUACCGGUGGUUUUAACCCCCCGGUUGAAGCCGCGAGACACACGG
rnacentral:rRNA from 1 species